UACGUAGGGUGCGAGCGUUAAUCGGAAUUACUGGGCGUAAAGCGUGCGCAGGCGGUUCGUUGUGUCGGCGGUGAAAGCCCCGGGCUCAACCCCGGGUCGGCCGUGGCAACUGCUGGGCUGGAGCACAGUAGAGGCGGGUGGAAUUCCUGGUGUAGCGGUGAAAUGCGCAGAUAUCUGGAGGAACACCCGUGGCGAAGGCGGCGUCGUCUGGGACGGUGACUGACGCUGAGACGCGAAAGCGUGGGGAGCGAACAGG
rnacentral:rRNA from 1 species